rnacentral:rRNA from 1 species
CCUACGGGUGGCAGCAGUGGGGAAUAUUGGGCAAUGGGCGCAAGCCUGACCCAGCAACGCCGCGUGAAGGAAGAAGGCCCUCGGGUUGUAAACUUCUUUUGUCAGGGACGAAACAAAUGACGGUACCUGACGAAUAAGCCACGGCUAACUACGUGCCAGCAGCCGCGGUAAUACGUAGGUGGCACGCGUUAUCAGGAUUUACUGGGUGUAAAGGGCGUGGAGGCGGGAGAGCAAGUCAGAUGUGAAAUUCCAGGGCUAAACCCUGGAACUGCAUUUGAUACUGUUUUUCUUGAGUGAUGGAGAGGCAGGCGGAAGUCCGUGUGUAGCGGUGAACUGCGUAGAUAUGCGGAGGAACACCAGUGGCGAAGGCAGCCUGCUGGGCAUUAACUGACGCUGAGGCGCGAAAGCGUGGGGAGCAAACAGGAUUAGAUACCCUAGUAGUC